rnacentral:rRNA from 1 species
CAGGCUUAACACAUGCAAGUCGAGGGGCAGCAUGGUCUUAGCUUGCUAAGACUGAUGGCGACCGGCGCACGGGUGAGUAACGCGUAUCCAACCUGCCGUCUACUCUUGGACAGCCUUCUGAAAGGAAGAUUAAUACAAGAUGGCAUCAUGAGUCCGCAUGUUCACAUGAUUAAAGGUAUUCCGGUAGACGAUGGGGAUGCGUUCCAUUAGAUAGUAGGCGGGGUAACGGCCCACCUAGUCUUCGAUGGAUAGGGGUUCUGAGAGGAAGGUCCCCCACAUUGGAACUGAGACACGGUCCAAACUUCUACGGGAGGCAGCAGUGAGGAAUAUUGGUCAAUGGGCGAGAGCCUGAACCAGCCAAGUAGCGUGAAGGAUGACUGCCCUAUGGGUUGUAAACUUCUUUUAUAAAGGAAUAAAGUCGGGUAUGUAUACCCGUUUGCAUGUACUUUAUGAAUAAGGAUCGGCUAACUCCGUGCCAGCAGCCGCGGUAAUACGGAGGAUCCGAGCGUUAUCCGGAUUUAUUGGGUUUAAAGGGAGCGUAGAUGGAUGUUUAAGUCAGUUGUGAAAGUUUGCGGCUCAACCGUAAAAUUGCAGUUGAUACUGGAUAUCUUGAGUGCAGUUGAGGCAGGCGGAAUUCGUGGUGUAGCGGUGAAAUGCUUAGAUAUCACGAAGAA